GGAGCUGGAGUUGUGGUUGAAGCUAAUUUGUUUAGUGAGAGAUGGACUUCUUGUCUAGUACUAUACUAUUGUGUCUGUGCUUUAUCUCCUGGUUCUUGAUCCAAGCCCUCCAUAGAAGAACCAGAGUUAGGCUUCCACCAGGACCAAAGCCAUUUCCAUUGGUUGGAAAUCUCUUUGAGAUUGGAGACAAACCUCAUAUCUCUUUGACCAACCUCUCACAACACUAUGGCUCAAUUAUGUCUUUGAAACUAGGCCAGAUAACUACUAUUGUAGUUUCUUCACCAUCCAUGGCCAAAGAAAUCCUCCGAAUCCAUGACCAAUUGUUCUGCAACAGAACAAUCCCAGAUGCAAUUCAAGCCUUUGCAGACUACAGCUUGCCGUGGAUGCCGGUAUCACCAAGGUGGAGAAAUUUUCGGAAAAUAUGCACCUCCCAACUCUUUGCCACAAGAGUUCUUGAUGCCAACCAAGAAAACCGGAGAGCGAAAGUGCAUGAGCUCAUAGCUAGUGUCAAUGACUGCACGGCAAAGGGUUUGGCAGUAGAUAUUGGAAAGGCUGCUUUCAAAACUUCACUCAAUUUGCUGUCAAGAACUAUUUUCUCAGUGGAUUUGGCAGAUGAUGACUCGAGUAGCAGCAACGAGAUCACUAAAGAGUUCAAGAAGAUUUUCUACUGGUAUGCUAGAGGAGGCUGGGAAACCGAAUUUAGGGGACUUUUUUCCCUGUGCUUAAGAAGAUUGAUCCCCAAGGCAGAAGGCGGCGCUUUACGAAUCACUAUAACAAGAUGUUAGGCUUAUUUGAAUCAGUGAUCAAACAAAGACUGGAAUUUAGAAAAGGGGAUGAUUAUGUUGCAAGUAAUGAUAUGUUGGAUACUCUUAUAGACCUCAGAGAAGAGGAAAAUGAGGAGGAUUUGAACAACCCCAAAGUUAUUGAACAUUUGUUAUCGGCUCUAUUUGUUGCAGGCACAGAAACAACUUCAGUCACAUUGGAAUGGGCAAUGGCGGAGCUACUACACAACCCAAAGUGCCUCUGUAAAGCUCAAGAAGAGCUGGAUCAAAUGAUUGGAAAAGGAAAACCAAUUGAGGAAUCCAACAUUGCUAGACUCCCUUACUUACAAGCAAUUAUCAAGGAAACUUUCCGCCUGCGCCCGGUGGCUCCAUUGCUUCUUCCACGAAAAGCUGAAACAGAUGUAGAAAUCGGGGGCUACAUUGUCCCAAAGGGUGCACAAGUUCUAGUUAAUAUUUGGGCCAUAGGCAGAGACCCCAGCAUUUGGGACAAUCCAAACUCUUUUAUGCCAGAGAGGUUCCUAGGAUCAGACAACCAAAUUGAUGUUAUGGGAAAUAACUUUGAGCUUAUUCCAUUUGGUGGUGGGAGGAGAAUCUGUCCAGGUUUGCCAUUGGCAAUGAGAAUGUUGCACUUGGUGUUGGGGUCACUCAUUAACUGCUUUGAUUGGAAGCUUGAAGAUGGAGUUCUACCUGAGACUAUGAACUUGGAAGACAAGUUUAGCAUCACUUUACAAAUGGCUCAGCCUCUCAAGGCUGUUCCAAAGGAAAUUGUAAUGGAAUGAUGUAAAAUAACUGUAGGCAUGCAUAAUGAGGUAAACAGCUAUCAGAUUUGAUCAACUUAGUGUAGGCUGCCUUAGAGACAGUUCCUUUCUAUAUAUUCCUUUUCCCCUUGUUUUUAUUUGCUUAUAAAAAAAAAUCAGGUACUAUCUUAUAUA